ensembl:lncRNA
GUUUUUGCAGAACUGCAGGAGUUACAAGUCCUUAAUCCCGACUUCUCCAGCGUAAGUUUCCUAGGUGUUUGUCUGGAUGGUUAUCCCCUCAAUAACAUUUCCGUGCCACUCACUGACAUGUGCCACCUUUCUUUUUCUUUUUCUAUUUGUAGAAGGAAUCACUGUCGCUGCUUACCCCAACCCAAGUGGCACAAUUGACAUUGACCUCUGGGGCGUUGAAUGACACAGAUGACAUUAAACUUGUGUUUACGCGGCUGGAGGAAGGAGACGCUUUCAAAAAUGUUGAUGAGUUUCUGACGCAACUGACCGCAAAGGAAGAGAUUCCUGACAUCCAUCCAGCCGUGAGAGAUGUGAUGAUGAAUCAGACGUUCAACAUCAUCAGCCUUCAAUUCCCAGAGUUCGAAACGCUGGACUGGAUUGCAUGGUUCGAAGUAAAGCUGAUUCCCAUCCUCCCCAGUUUUAAUGAAGUCAUGCUCACCAUUGCUACCUCAAACGUCAACUGCACCAACUACCAAGUCAU